GACAGUUGCGGCAGCUAAAAUGCAGUCGAGCGGUAGCACAGAGAGCUUGCUCUCGGGUGACGAGCGGCGGACGGGUGAGUAAUGUCUGGGAAACUGCCUGAUGGAGGGGGAUAACUACUGGAAACGGUAGCUAAUACCGCAUAACGUCGCAAGACCAAAGUGGGGGACCUUCGGGCCUCAUGCCAUCAGAUGUGCCCAGAUGGGAUUAGCUAGUAGGUGGGGUAACGGCUCACCUAGGCGACGAUCCCUAGCUGGUCUGAGAGGAUGACCAGCCACACUGGAACUGAGACACGGUCCAGACUCCUACGGGAGGCAGCAGUGGGGAAUAUUGCACAAUGGGCGCAAGCCUGAUGCAGCCAUGCCGCGUGUGUGAAGAAGGCCUUCGGGUUGUAAAGCACUUUCAGCGGGGAGGAAGGCGUUAAGGUUAAUAACCUUGUCGAUUGACGUUACCCGCAGAAGAAGCACCGGCUAACUCCGUGCCAGCAGCCGCGGUAAUACGGAGGGUGCAAGCGUUAAUCGGAAUUACUGGGCGUAAAGCGCACGCAGGCGGUCUGUCAAGUCGGAUGUGAAAUCCCCGGGCUCAACCUGGGAACUGCAUUCGAAACUGGCAGGCUAGAGUCUUGUAGAGGGGGGUAGAAUUCCAGGUGUAGCGGUGAAAUGCGUAGAGAUCUGGAGGAAUACCGGUGGCGAAGGCGGCCCCCUGGACAAAGACUGACGCUCAGGUGCGAAAGCGUGGGGAGCAAACAGGAUUAGAUACCCUGGUAGUCCACGCCGUAAACGAUGUCGAUUUGGAGGUUGUGCCCUUGAGGCGUGGCUUCCGGAGCUAACGCGUUAAAUCGACCGCCUGGAGAGUACGGCCGCAAGGUUAAAACUCAAAUGAAUUGACGGGGGCCCGCACAAGCGGUGGAGCAUGUGGUUUAAUUCGAUGCAACGCGAAGAACCUUACCUGGUCUUGACAUCCACAGAACUUACCAGAGAUGCAUUGGUGCCUUCGGGAACUGUGAGACAGGUGCUGCAUGGCUGUCGUCAGCUCGU
rnacentral:rRNA from 1 species